CACUGCAAGGAUUGACAGAUUGAGAGCUCUUUCUUGAUUCGGUGGGUGGUGGUGCAUGGCCGUUUUUAGUUGGUGGAGCGAUUUGUUUGGUUAAUUCCGAUAACGAACGAGACUCUAGCCGGCUAAUUAGUUGACCGGGUGCGCUGCACCGCGGUGCUUACAAAGUGUAAAAUACUUUUUAGAGGGACAGGUGGCGAGAAGUCACACGAGAUUGAGCAAUAACAGGUCUGUGAUGCCCUUAGAUGUCCGGGGCUGCACGCGCGCUACACUGAACGAGACAGCAGGUCCUGUUGGUUCUGGCUCGAGAGGGCUGGGUAAUCCUGUUAACCUCAUUCGUAGUUGGGAUUGGGGCUUGAAAUUGCCCCCAUGAACCAGGAAUUCCGAGUAAGCGC
rnacentral:rRNA from 1 species